AUUGAACGCUGGCGGCAUGCCUUACACAUGCAAGUCGAACGGUAACAGGUCUUCGGAUGCUGACGAGUGGCGAACGGGUGAGUAAUACAUCGGAACGUGCCCGAUCGUGGGGGAUAACGAAGCGAAAGCUUUGCUAAUACCGCAUAAGAUCUACGGAUGAAAGCAGGGGACCGCAAGGCCUUGCGCGAACGGAGCGGCCGAUGGCAGAUUAGGUAGUUGGUGGGAUAAAAGCUUACCAAGCCGACGAUCUGUAGCUGGUCUGAGAGGACGACCAGCCACACUGGGACUGAGACACGGCCCAGACUCCUACGGGAGGCAGCAGUGGGGAAUUUUGGACAAUGGGCGAAAGCCUGAUCCAGCCAUGCCGCGUGCGGGAUGAAGGCCUUCGGGUUGUAAACUGCUUUUGUACGGAACGAAAAGACUCUGGUUAAUACCUGGGGUCCAUGACGGUACCGUAAGAAUAAGCACCGGCUAACUACGUG
rnacentral:rRNA from 1 species